rnacentral:sRNA from 14 species
CCAAGGGCACUCUUUCGGAUAUUUCCUUUUAAAAAUACUUCAAGUGUGAUGGGCAUAAGAUCAGAGGUG